CGCGGCCUAUCAGCUUGUUGGUGGGGUGAUGGCCUACCAAGGCGUCGACGGGUAGCCGGCCUGAGAGGGCGACCGGCCACACUGGGACUGAGACACGGCCCAGACUCCUACGGGAGGCAGCAGUGGGGAAUAUUGCACAAUGGGCGAAAGCCUGAUGCAGCGACGCCGCGUGAGGGAUGACGGCCUUCGGGUUGUAAACCUCUUUCAGCAGGGAAGAAGGCCUUCGGGUGGACGGUACCUGCAGAAGAAGCGCCGGCUAACUACGUGCCAGCAGCCGCGGUAAGACGUAGGGCGCGAGCGUUGUCCGGAUUUAUUGGGCGUAAAGGGCUCGUAGGCGGCCCGCUGCGUCUGCCGUGAAAGGCCUCGGCUUAACCGAGGUUUUGCGGUGGAUACGGGCGGGCUUGAGGCAAGUAGGGGAAACUGGAAUUCUACGUGUAGCGGUGAAAUGCGCAGAUAUGUGGAGGAACACCGGUGGCGAAGGCGGGUUUCUGGGCUUGUUCUGACGCUGAGGAGCGAAAGCGUGGGGAGCGAACAGGAUUAGAUACCCUGGUAGUCCAUGCUGUAAACGGUGGGCGCUAGGUGUGGGGCCACGUUGGUUGGUUCUGUGCCGUAGCUAACGCAUUAAGCGCCCCGCCUGGGGAGUACGG
rnacentral:rRNA from 1 species